AAAUAUCUGACAGGUACAGCUAAAGGGUUGGGGGAGACACAACACCCACCUUCGAAAUUCUAUUAAAAAUAAUAUCUUCUUAUGCAGAACAUUCCCUAAUUGGAAGAAAUUGUGAACUGUAUAUUUCACCUCAUGUAGCCGCGCGGUUAAAUUUUAAAACUAUUUCCUUGUCCCUCAAACGUAGCACCAUCUGUCAUAGGUCAUCCCUGACAUUGUAUAAACUCCCCAAGAUCUAUUGAAUAGUCUUGUAACCGGGCCAAUUUAACUAUUCUUACAACUUCAUGACGAGCAGUUACUGUAACUUAUUACAGUUCCAUUAACAAUUCAAAUAUUCUCAGUACGUUCAGUCCAAAUAUAAGCAUAUUUCAUGAUUUUGGAAGCAUUCAGGCAUGCCAAGUUUGCUCAGAAUGUCAUAACAAAUAACAAACAAUAAAGUAAAUUUGUAAUACAGCAGCA